UCAGCAUCCUUGUGCAGGAACUUCAUGCGAUUCGCAGGAAAUCCGCGUCGCUUCUUCUUCUUCUUCUUCUCUCUCUCUCUGCUACUGCGUUCGCUGAAGAGCUCCAUCCAAUUCUAGGGUUUGGAGAGCUCCAUUUCCUCGUAUCUCUGAUCGUGAUUUCUCAACCGUCCAAUCGCGUUUCUCCAUCCAUAUUCUCCUUCCGCCAGAGAUGUAUCAAUGGCGGAAAUUCGAGUUCUUCGAAGAGAAAUCGCCCUCCGGUAAAUGCUCCAUUCCCGAAGAAGUCUCUGGAAAGAUCCAGUGCUGCUCGAGCGGGAGAGGGAAGAUCGCCGUCGGAUGUGACGACGGGACCGUCAAUCUGCUCGAUCGAGGGUUGAAAUUCAUCUCCGGAUUCCAGGCCCACUCCUCGAACGUUAUCUUCCUUCAACAGCUCAAGCUCCGCAAUUUCCUCGUGACUGUUGGGGAGGAUGAACAAACCUCUCCCCAGCUAUCACCUAUCUGCCUGAAGGUUUUCGACCUUGAUAAGACGCAGCCAGAGAGUUCAAGCACAACAAGCCCUGUUUGUAUCCAGAUACUGCGGGUAUUCACCAAUCAGUUUCCUGAAGCAAAGAUUACAUCAUUUUUAGUCCUCGAGGAAGCUCCCCCAAUAUUGCUCAUCUCAAUUGGGUUAGACAAUGGUUGCAUUUACUGCAUUAAAGGGGACAUUGCACGUGAGCGUAUCACACGCUUCAAGCUUCAAGUCGAGAAUGCUUCAAACAAGAGCAGUUGCCCUAUCACAGGUCUAGGAUUCCGAGUUGAUGGACAGUCCCUUCAACUCUUUGGCGUCACUCCUAGUUCCGUUAGCUUGUUCAACUUGCAGGAUCAACCACCUAGGCGGCAGACCCUAGAUCAGAUUGGAUGCGAUGUCAAUAGUGUUACAAUGAGUGACCGCUUGGAACUGAUAAUUGGCCGUCCUGAGGCUGUCUACUUCUAUGAAGUCGAUGGGCGUGGACCUUGUUGGGCUUUUGAGGGGGAGAAGAAAUUCCUCGGCUGGUUUAGAGGGUACCUAUUGUGCGUUAUUGCAGAUCAGAGAAGCAGCAAGAAUACUUUCAAUGUUUAUGAUCUGAAGAACCGACUGAUCGCCCAUAGCCUAGUGAUUGGAGAGGUUUCUCACAUGCUUUGUGAAUGGGGUAAUGUAAUCCUUAUAAUGAGUGACAAGACAGCUUUAUGCAUCGGAGAAAAGGACAUGGAAAGCAAGUUGGAUAUGCUUUUCAAGAAGAAUCUAUAUACCGUUGCUAUCAAUCUCGUCCAAAGUCAGCAAGCAGAUGCUGCAGCCACCGCAGAAGUACUACGUAAGUAUGGUGACCAUUUGUACGGGAAACAAGAUUAUGAUGAAGCCAUGGCUCAAUACAUUAACACGAUCGGUCACCUCGAGCCUUCUUAUGUCAUUCAAAAGUUCCUUGAUGCCCAACGCAUCUACAACCUUACAAAUUACUUGGAAAAAUUACAUGAGAAAGGUCUGGCUUCUAAAGACCAUACCACCCUUCUUCUCAACUGCUAUACAAAAUUGAAAGAUGUAGAAAAGCUGAACGUAUUCAUAAAAAACGAAGAUGGUGUUGGAGAGCACAACUUUGAUUUGGAGACUGCCAUAAGAGUCUGCCGUGCUGCUGGAUAUCAUGAGCAUGCAAUGUAUGUUGCUAAGAAGGCAGGGAGGCAUGAGUGGUACUUGAAGAUCUUGCUCGAAGACCUCGGUGGAUAUCAGGAAGCAUUACAAUACAUUUCGAGCAUCGAACCCAGCCAAGCUGGGAUCACUGUGAAGGAGUAUGGUAAGAUUCUUGUGGAGCACAAGCCGGUUGAGACGAUCGAGAUACUCAUGAAGCUUUGCACUGAUGAUGGAGAAUCGGCGAAAAAGGGGACAGCAUUGAAUGGCACACGCAUAUCUAUGUUGCCUUCCCCAGUAGAUUUCCUCAACAUUUUCAUUCAUCAUCCCGAAGCUCUUAUGGAUUUUCUUGAGAAGUACAUCAGGCGGGUGGAAGAUUCGCCCGCCCAAGUAGAAAUUCACAAUACACUCUUGGAGCUAUACCUAUCUAAUGACUUGAACUUCCCAUCGAUUUCACAGGUGGGUGAUCUCUAUCUUAAUGGGAAUACGUCAUCAUUGGCCGACAGUAAGGGAAAAUCGAGUGUGGAUGGCAAAGAUAUAAAUAGGGAGAAGGCUCGUUCGGAGAGAUUCGAGAAAGGCUUGCGCUUGCUCACCAGUGCAUGGCCAUCUGGCACGGAACAACCAUUGUAUGAUGUGGGUCUUGCUGUCAUUCUUUGUGAGAUGAACACAUUCAAAGAAGGGCUGCUGUUUCUGUAUGAAAAGAUGAAGCUUUAUAAGGAGGUGAUUGCUUGCUACAUGCAGGCCCACGAUCAUGAAGGGUUGAUCGCCUGUUGUAAAAGGCUUGGGGAUUCGAGCAAGGGUGGAGAUCCAUCUCUAUGGGGGGAUCUGCUGAAGUACUUUGGUGAGCUUGGAGAAGAUUGCUCCAAAGAAGUCAAAGAAAUCUUGACAUAUGUUGAAAGGGAUGACAUAUUGCCUCCAAUUAUCGUUCUCCAGACACUGGCUAGGAAUCCUUGCCUCACUCUCUCUGUUGUCAAGGAUUACAUUGCUCGGAAACUCGAACAAGAAUCGAAGCUGAUUGAAGAAGAUCGUCGAUCUAUCGAGAAGUACCAGGAAGACACCUCGGCAAUGAGGAAAGAGAUACAGGAUCUCAGGACCAAUGCAAGGAUAUUUCAGCUCAGCAAAUGUACUGCUUGCACCUUUACACUCGAUCUUCCUGCAGUCCAUUUCAUGUGCAUGCAUUCAUUUCACCAACGUUGCCUUGGUGACAAUGAGAAAGAAUGCCCUGAGUGUGUGCCUGAGUACAGAUCUGUCUUAGAGAUGAAAAGAAGCUUAGAGCAAAAUGCUAAAGACCAUGACCGGUUCUUCCAGCAAGUGAAGGACUCAAAGGAUGGAUUCUCUGUUAUCGCCGACUAUUUUGGUAAGGGGAUUGUGAGCAAAACUAGUGACGGCCAAACGGGGGUUCUCAGGUCAGACAGUAGUACCCCAGGUGGCUUCUGAAGUUUGUUGUGGCAACAGUUGCUCACCAAACGGGGCCUCGAUUAGACGGUUCUUUUCCUGAAUUUCGACCAAGACAGACGGCUAUUUGGAUUGAGAAUUAUGGCCUAGAAGUGCAAUGACUACAAAUUACAAUACUUCUCUCCUGGAAAAUCGUUUUGUACAGGUCGGACCCAUUCUUCAGUGAUCCAAACGGUUUGUAUGGCGGGUUUCACCUGUCGAUUGCUCAUGGACCAAAGGUAUCUGAGAUGGAAGAUCCCAGCCAUUGAAUAUUUGCCUGUUUAUAUUGAAUGUUAACUGCUGCACCUGUAAAAUGGCAGUGCAUAUGCAUUUCUGCUUACCAAAAAUGAUCCACUAAGACCUCUCGAUUCAUAUGCAUGAGUCAACGAAGCAGUUG